GGAUGGCCGGGCAGUGAUAGUUGUUCCUUUCCAUCACUCGUUGUGUUGACUUCAUCAUGUCCAUUUUGUGAUGUUUUUUCACUAUAUAAUCAUAUUGCAAGUGCACGUGCAUUUGCAAUAUGUUUCAAUGUGCAUUUACCAUAUGAAAUUUGACCUUGCUCAAAAAUGCAAAAUUGACUGGUCUGAUGAACACAGGAUGGCCGAGCAGUGAUAGUUGUACAUUUCCAUCACUUGUUGUGUUGAUUUCAUCAUGUCCAUUAGGUGAUGUUUUUACACUAUAGAAUCAUAUUGCAAGUGCGCGCGCAUUUGCAAUAUGUUUCAAUGUGCAUUUACCAUAUGAAAUUUGAAAUGCUCAAAAAUGCAAAAUUGACUGGUCUGAUGGACACAGGAUGGCCGAGCAGUGAUAGUUGUACAUUUCCAUCACUCGUUGUGUUGAUUUCAUCAUGUCCAUUAGGUGAUGUUUUUUCACUAUAGAAUCAUAUUGCAAGUGCGCGCGCAUUUGCAAUAUGUUUCAAUGUGCAUUUACCAUAUGAAAUUUGAAAUGCUCAAAAAUGCAAAAUUGACUGGUCUGAUGGACACAGGAUGGCCGAGCAGUGAUAGUUGUACAUUUCCAUCACUUGUUGUGUUGAUUUCAUCAUGUCCAUUAGGUGAUGUUUUUUCACUAUAGAAUCAUAUUGCAAAUGCACGUGCAUUGUUGUGCAACUGGUAACCCAAAAAUUAAAAUAUGGUUGUAAAUGCAUUUACCGGUCAUUCUGAUAUUAAUGCUCGCUAUGGGAACACAGGAUGGCCGGGCAGUGAUAGUUGUACAUUUCCAUCACUCGUUGUGUUGAUUUCAUCAUGUCCAUUAGGUGAUGUUUUUACACUAUAGAAUCAUAUUGCAAGUGCGCGCGCAUUUGCAAUAUGUUUCAAUGUGCAUUUACCAUAUGAAAUUUGACAUGCUCAAAAAUGCAAAAUUGACUGGUCUGAUGGACACAGGAUGGCCGAGCAGUGAUAGUUGUACAUUUCCAUCACUCGUUGUGUUGAUUUCAUCAUGUCCAUUAGGUGAUGUUUUUUCACUAUAGAAUCAUAUUGCAAAUGCACGUGCAUUGUUGUGCAACUGGUAACCCAAAAAUAAAAAUAUGGUUGUAAAUGCAUUUACCGGUCAUUCUGAUAUUAAUGCUCGCUAUGGGAACACAGGAUGGCCGGGCAGUGAUAGUUGUACAUUUCCAUCACUCGUUGUGUUGAUUUCAUCAUGUCCAUUAGGUGAUGUUUUUACACUAUAGAAUCAUAUUGCAAGUGCGCGCGCAUUUGCAAUAUGUUUCAAUGUGCAUUUACCAUAUGAAAUUUGAAAUGCUCAAAAAUGCAAAAUUGACUGGUCUGAUGGACACAGGAUGGCCGAGCAGUGAUAGUUGUACAUUUCCAUCACUCGUUGUGUUGAUUUCAUCAUGUCCAUUAGGUGAUGUUUUUUCACUAUAGAAUCAUAUUGCAAAUGCACGUGCAUUGUUGUGCAACUGGUAACCCAAAAAUAAAAAUAUGGUUGUAAAUGCAUUUACCGGUCAUUCUGAUAUUAAUGCUCGCUAUGGGAACACAGGAUGGCCGGGCAGUGAUAGUUGUACAUUUCCAUCACUCGUUGUGUUGAUUUCAUCAUGUCCAUUAGGUGAUGUUUUUACACUAUAGAAUC